rnacentral:rRNA from 1 species
GACGAACGCUGGCGGCGUGCCUAAUACAUGCAAGUCGAACGCAGAGGCCGGGGUUUUGUUCGGUGGACGAGUGGCGAACGGGUGAGUAACACGUGGGUAACCUGCCCUUGACUGGGGGAUAACUUUUGGAAACGGGGGCUAAUACCGCAUAAGAGCUCAUGCUGCAUGGUGUUUGUUGGAAAGUUGCGGCGGUUGGGGUUGGACUUGCGGCUUAUCAGCUUGUUGGUGGUGUAGGGGCUUAGCAUGGCUAUGACGGCUAGCCGGCCUGGGAGGGUGACGGGGCACAUUGGGACUGAGAUACGGCCCAGACUGCUACGGGAGGCAGCGGUGGGAAACAUUGCACAAUGGGCGGAAGCCGGAUGCAGCAACGUCGCGUGCGGGAUGACGGCUUUCGGGUUGUAAACCGCGUUCGACUGUGACGAAGAGUGAGUGACGGUAACUGGUAAAGAAGCAACGGCUAACUACGUG